AUUUUGACGUUGAUUAGGCUUAGGAUUUAUUCCCUCUGGUUUAUAAGAGAAUCUGUAUUGCUGAGAGCAGAUACCAAGGAAUAAUGAAAUUGGGGCUUAGGAGUCGUAGUUAAAAAAACUACCGUAUAACAGGCGUUAACUGUAAUUGAGUGAUCUCAUAUUCCUGAGAUAAGAAGGGUGGCACCACGAUAUUAUCGUCCCUUUC
rnacentral:ncRNA from 2 species